AUUGAACGCUGGCGGCAGGCCUAACACAUGCAAGUCGAACGAGUGGCGGACGGGUGAGUAAUGUAUGGGAAUCUGCCCGAUGGAGGGGGAUAACUACUGGAAACGGUAGCUAAUACCGCAUACUAUCGGAUGUGCCCAGCUGGGAUUAGCGAGGAGGUGGGGUAACGGCUCACCUAGGCGACGAUCCCUAGCUGGUCUGAGAGGAUGACCAGCCACACUGGAACUGAGACACGGUCCAGACUCCUACGGGAGGCAGCAGUGGGGAAUAGUGCACAAUGGGCGCAAGCCUGAUGCAGCCAUGCCGCGUGUAUGAAGAAGGCCUUCGGGUUGUAAAGUACUUUCAGCGGGGAGGCGUUACCCGCAGAAGAAGCACCGGCUAACUCCGUGCCAGCCGCCGCGGUAAUAC
rnacentral:rRNA from 1 species